UACGUAGGGUGCAAGCGUUGUCCGGAAUUAUUGGGCGUAAAGAGCUCGUAGGCGGUUUGUCGCGUCUGCUGUGAAAACUGGGGGCUCAACCCCCGGCCUGCAGUGGGUACGGGCAGACUAGAGUGCGGUAGGGGAGAUUGGAAUUCCUGGUGUAGCGGUGGAAUGCGCAGAUAUCAGGAGGAACACCGAUGGCGAAGGCAGAUCUCUGGGCCGUAACUGACGCUGAGGAGCGAAAGCAUGGGUAGCGAACAGG
rnacentral:rRNA from 1 species